rnacentral:rRNA from 1 species
CGCGUAGGCGGCAAUACAAGUCGCAUGUGAAAUACCAGGGCUCAACCCUGGGGUGUCAUGCGAAACUGUAUAGCUUGAGUGCAGUAGAGGUAAGCGGAAUUCCUGGUGUAGCGGUAAAAUGCGUAGAGAUCAGGAGGAACACCGGUGGCGAAGGCGGCUUACUGGGCUGCAACUGACGCUGAGGCGCGAAAGCGUGGGGAGCAAACAGGAUUAGAUACCCUGGUAGUCCACGCGGUAAACGAUGAUUACUAGGUGUAGGGGACGCAGGUCUUCUGUGCCGGAGCUAACGCAAUAAGUAAUCCGCCUGGGGAGUACGGCCGCAAGGUUGAA